rnacentral:lncRNA from 1 species
GUUUGGGGAUGAGGAGGAGCAACUUAUUGAGGAGAAGAGAGAGAAAAAAAGUUGAUGCCCACAAGUCUCCAGACUGCUGCUGUUUAAUCCUGAAGGUCUCCAGACUGCUGCUGUUUAAUCCUGAAGGUCUCCAGACUGCUGCUGUGUCCUGCUGUGAAGCUACGUAGGAGCUAGCUAGGAGAAUACAUAGCCUAUGUACACCCUACACAGGAUCUGUCUCUGUCUCCUCACCCCUAACAAAAUCACCUCUCCUCUGCUGUAACCCUAACUCAGGAGGCCUAUGAUGAACUCUUAUCCUCACCCCUCCUCUCACCUCCUCUUUCCUCCUCCUCCCUCCUCUUUCCUCCUCCCUCCUCUUUCCU